rnacentral:rRNA from 1 species
AGUGAACGCUGGCGGUAGGCCUAACACAUGCAAGUCGAACGGCAGCACAGAGGAGCUUGCUCCUUGGGUGGCGAGUGGCGGACGGGUGAGGAAUACAUCGGAAUCUACUCUGUCGUGGGGGAUAACGUAGGGAAACUUACGCUAAUACCGCAUACGACCUACGGGUGAAAGCAGGGGAUCUUCGGACCUUGCGCGAUUGAAUGAGCCGAUGUCGGAUUAGGUAGUUGGCGGGGUAAAGGCCCACCAAGGCGACGAGCCGUAGCUGGUCUGAGAGGAUGAUCAGCCACACUGGAACUGAGACACGGUCCAGACUCCUACGGGAGGCAGCAGUGGGGAAUAUUGGACAGUGGGCGCAAGCCUGAUCCAGCCAUACCGCGUGGGUGAAGAAGGCCUUCGGGUUGUAAAGCCCUUUUGUUGGGAAAGAAAUCCAUCUGGUUAAUACCCGGGUGGGAUGACGGUACCCAAAGAAUAAGCACCGGCUAACUUCGUGCCAGCCGCCGCCGUAA